rnacentral:rRNA from 1 species
AGAAUCAACGCUGGCGGCGUGCCUCAGACAUGCAAGUCGAACGCGAAAGUCCCCUUCGGGGGACAAGUAGAGUGGCGCACGGGUGAGUAACACGUAGGUAAUCUACCUUUGGAUGGGGAAUAACAACCGGAAACGGUUGCUAAUACCGCAUAAUGCAGCGGCACCUAAUGGUGACAGUUGUUAAAGCGGGGGAUCGAAAGACCUCGCGUCUGAAGAGGAGCCUGCGGCGGAUUAGCUAGUUGGUAAGGUAAUGGCUUACAAGGCUACGAUCC